rnacentral:lncRNA from 1 species
GUUGCCUCUGUUGCCGCCGACGAUUAGCCUCCUUUUUGGCCUAAAAAUGGCAUCGGAGUGACAAUCAAUGAUUUUUUGUCUUCCUAUGAAUUAACUGCAGAAUCUGUCAUCUUUUAUUCACCUUUGGUUCUCGUGUUCGUUUCCUCUUCUCCACUUGUAGAAACAAGUUUGGGUUUAGAAAUCAUUCUCUGGUUCUCAGAGAAUCUAUCUUAAACCAGUAAGUUUGUUUUGUAUCAAUCCCCGUUAAGAUUUUAUAACUUGGUCUUUUUUCUGGGUUUAACUUCAUUCGAUCUAUAGGGUUUUGCAUUGUGACCCUUUAGACCUAAUUUCGAGGUUCUUAUCUUCCGUCAUGUUGCAAUGACUUGUGUGUUUCUUUUUUCUUUAGUGAUAAAUCAAUGGUGAUAAAUCAUAUUUUACUAGAUAAAUCAAUGGUGUUUCUAGAAGGGGGAGAUUU